AUGAUGUCGUCCUCCACCAACACACCGAAGCUAUGACAUCAUUCAGCCUGCACACUGACUUCCUGUGUUUCUUCUUUGUGUGUUUCAGAGAAGCUGUAUAACUCUCAGGGUCCGGAGCUCAGACGCUCUCUGUUCUCUCUCAAACAGCUGUUUCAGGAUGAUAAAGACCUGGUUCCAGAGUUCGUGGCCUCUGAGGGUUUGACGUGUUUCAUUAAAGUUGGAGCGGAGGCCGACCACAACUACCAGAACUACAUCCUGAGAGCUCUCAGUCAGAUCAUGCUGUUUGUGGACGGUAUGAACGGAGUGAUCGCCCACAGUGAGACGGUUCAGUGGCUCUACACGCUGACAGGAAGUCUGUCUCGUCUGGUGGUGAAAACGUCUCUGAAGCUGCUCAUCGUCUUCGUGGAAUAUUCAGAGUCCAACAGUCCUCUGCUCAUCAGCGCUGUCAACACGGUGGACGGGAAGAGAGGUA